GAUGAACGCUGGCGGCGUGCCUAAUACAUGCAAGUCGAGCGAACAGACGAGGAGCUUGCUCCUCUGACGUUAUCGGCGGACGGGUGAGUAACACGUGGAUAAACUAACUAUAAGACUGGGAUACCUUCGGGAAACAGGAGCUAAUACCGGAUAAUAUAUUGACCCGCGUGGUUCCCUAGUUAAAGUCGGUUUUUGUGUCACUUAAAGCUGACUCCGGGCCGCAUUAGCUUGUUGGCAAGGUAACGGCUUACCAAGGCUACGAUGCGUACCCGACCUGAAAGGGUGAUCGGCCACACUGGAACUGAGACACGGUCCAGACUCCUGCGCGAGGCAGCAGUAGGGAAUCUUCCGCAAGGGGCGAGAGCUUGACGGAGCAACGUCGCGUGAGUGAUGAAGGUCUUCGGAUCGGAAAACGCUGUUAGUAGGGAAGAACAAAUGUGUAAGUAACUAGGCACGUCUUGACGGUACCGAAUCAGAAAGCCACGGCUAACUACGUG
rnacentral:rRNA from 1 species